rnacentral:rRNA from 1 species
UACGUAGGGUGCAAGCGUUACUCGGAAUUACUGGGCGUAAAGCGUGCGUAGGCGGUUUGUUAAGUCCGCUGUGAAAGCCCUGGGCUCAACCUGGGAAUUGCAGUGGAUACUGGCAAGCUAGAGUGCGGUAGAGGAUGGUGGAAUUCCCGGUGUAGCGGUGAAAUGCGCAGAUAUCGGGAGGAACACCGGUGGCGAAGGCGGUUCUCUGGGCCUGUACUGACGCUGAGGCGCGACAGCGUGGGGAGCAAACAGG